rnacentral:lncRNA from 1 species
CUCUGGGGCAAGGUUGGGGGAGCUGCCCCUUGUCCUGCACUUCAGCAGCUACAGGGCUGUGGGUGAAGGAGGGCCUGAGGAUUACGUCCUUCUAUGGCCGCUUCAGGCACUUCUUGGAUAUCAUCGACCCUCGCACACUCUUUGUCACUGAGAGACGUCUCAGAGAGGCUGUGCAGCUGCUGGAGGACUAUAAGCAUGGGACCCUGCGCCCGGGGGUCACCAAUGAACAGCUCUGGAGUGCACAGAAAAUCAAGCAGGCUAUUCUACAUCCGGACACCAAUGAGAAGAUCUUCAUGCCAUUUAGAAUGUCAGGUUAUAUUCCUUUUGGGACGCCAAUUGUAGUCGGUCUUCUCUUGCCCAACCAGACACUGGCAUCCACUGUCUUCUGGCAGUGGCUGAACCAGAGCCACAAUGCCUGUGUCAACUAUGCAAACCGCAAUGCGACCAAGCCUUCACCUGCAUCCAAGUUCAUCCAGGGAUACCUGGGAGCUGUCAUCAGCGCCGUCU